UGGGGGAUAUUGCACAAUGGGGGAAACCCUGAUGCAGCGACGCCGCGUGGAGGAAGAAGGUUUUCGGAUUGUAAACUCCUGUCGUUAGGGACGAUAAUGACGGUACCUAACAAGAAAGCACCGGCUAACUACGUGCCAGCAGCCGCGGUAAAACGUAGGGUGCAAGCGUUGUCCGGAAUUACUGGGUGUAAAGGGAGCGCAGGCGGACCGGCAAGUUGGAAGUGAAAACUAUGGGCUCAACCCAUAAAUUGCUUUCAAAACUGCUGGCCUUGAGUAGUGCAGAGGUAGGUGGAAUUCCCGGUGUAGCGGUGGAAUGCGUAGAUAUCGGGAGGAACACCAGUGGCGAAGGCGACCUACUGGGCACCAACUGACGCUGAGGCUCGAAAGCAUGGGUAGCAAACAGGAUUAGAUACCCUGGUAGUCCAUGCCGUAAACGAUGAUUACUAGGUGUUGGAGGAUUGACCCCUUCAGUGCCGCAGUUAACACAAUAAGUAAUCCACCUGGGGAGUACGACCGCAAGGUUGAAACUCAAAGGAAUUGACGGGGGCCCGCACAAGCAGUGGAGUAUGUGGUUUAAUUCGAAGCAACGCGAAGAACCUUACCAGGUCUUGACAUCCGAUGCAUAGCUUAGAGAUAAGUGAAGUCCUUCGGGACAUCGAGACAGGUGGUGCAUGGUUGUCGUCAGCUCGUGUCGUGAGAUGUUGGGUUAAGUCCCGCAACGAGCGCAACCCUUAUUGCCAGUUACUACGAAAGAGGACUCUGGCGAGACUGCCGUUGACAAAACGGAGGAAGGUGGGGAUGACGUCAAAUCAUCAUGCCCUUUAUGACCUGGGCUACACACGUACUACAAUGGCGUUUAACAAAGAGAAGCAAGACCGCGAGGUGGAGCAAAACUCAAAAACAACGUCUCAGUUCAGAUUGCAGGCUGCAACUCGCCUGCAUGAAGUCGGAAUUGCUAGUAAUCGCGGAUCAGCAUGCCGCGGUGAAUACGUUCCC
rnacentral:rRNA from 2 species